CCCUCUGACCUAUGGUGAAUCCAUCAGAGGGACAGACUCUUCAUUAUAAUACGGUGUGCCGGGGCAGUGAUCUUUAUACAGGGGGUGUGGGCUGUACUCAGAGCCAGCGUGUGUGAGCCUCUGGGCAGGAUCCGAUGACCAAACAGGUAGAAGAAAUCCACAAGGACAUCGAGCUUGAAAGUGAAGGAAAAACUCAGGUUGUCUUCGGUCAAUUCAAAACUUUGUCUCUGAAGGUAUUCUCGCACAGCAUUGCUAAAGGUCUGUGGAAAGAGAGAGUUGGCAUGACAAGGCGGGUCAAGCUACAGAAAUAGCAACUCUUAUUUACCCAUCAGUACUGGCAAGCCGGGGCAAAGAUCACAAAAGAAUUGCAAGAGCACCAUCAAACACAGGUACAGCGGGACAUCGCUGCAGCCGGUGAUAGGGUGAAGGCUCUGUGACGUCCCAACACCAGCAAGAACAGCGGAGGACAGUGAGGCAGUUCCUUAACAAUGGGGGAACGGAUGACGAAGCUAUUGUCUGUGUGUCUCUGUGAGGAGUCCAAAUACAGGAAGUCUGGGUGGAGAAGAAGGGCUCUGUGCAAUGAGGACAAGCAGGGCUCUGUGCAGUAAAGCAGAAGACACCAAUUCAACAUCUGAUGGUACCCGACAAAGUACUUCUGCCGAACAAACAAGUACAUGAGUCCAGCAAAGGCUGCAGGCGCUACGUUACAUAUGGAAAGAAAGUGAUAGAACAUUAGUUGCAAACUUUUAUUAAAC